UUCAGUCUUAUUUGAUCCUUUUAUCUUUCUGAUCGUUAUUCCUCUUAGCCACAGUGGACACACCAUAGGAGCAUUUCUUAUAACCCAAGCAAAUUCAAGUAAUUGAAAGUAAAACACCUGAAAGUUAAAGAUAUGGAGGUUGAGGCACAUGCAGUUCAGCAAGCAGGUGGAGAAAUUACUACUGAUUGGGCCGGGUUAGUGGGGAUGAUCGACACCUUUGAUCGGCCCGGUAAAGCUUUUGCUGCUGGUACCUACGCAGGAGCAGAUGCAUUUGCAGAUGGAUUUGAGGACAAACCUGGAAAGCGUGUUCCAAAGGCAGGAGUGUUUGCUGCUGCAGGAGUGGGCUACGCUCGUGCUGAAUGGAGCGUUUUUGACGCGGAAGCCAAAGGUCCAAAUGCCAGUGCAGGAGCCGGAGCUUCUCUAUCUUCUCUCAGUGCACGAGCUUUUGCCAGAGCAGAAGUAGCCAGUGCUUCAGCCUCUGCUGGUCCAUUGAAAGCUAAAGUCGGCCUGGCAGUAGAUACAGGAGUGGGAAUUGGUGCCAGGGGUCUAGAAGCACAAGUUCUAGGAACUGGUUUCACUAUUGGUCCUACACUGAGGAUUUCCCUGUUAGGCAACGGUUUUGAACUUAACCUUGUAUAGA